rnacentral:rRNA from 1 species
GACGAACGCUGGCGGCGUGCUUAACACAUGCAAGUCGAACGGAAAGGCCCUGCUUUUGUGGGGUGCUCGAGUGGCGAACGGGUGAGUAACACGUGAGUAACCUGCCCUUGACUUUGGGAUAACUUCAGGAAACUGGGGCUAAUACCGGAUAGGAGCUCCUGCUGCAUGGUGGGGGUUGGAAAGUUUCGGCGGUUGGGGAUGGACUCGCGGCUUAUCAGCUUGUUGGUGGGGUAGUGGCUUACCAAGGCUUUGACGGGUAGCCGGCCUGAGAGGGUGACCGGCCACAUUGGGACUGAGAUACGGCCCAGACUCCUACGGGAGGAAGCAGUGGGGAAUAUUGCACAAUGGGCGGAAGCCGGAUGCAGCAACGCCGCGUGCGGGAUGACGGCCUUCGGGUUGUAAACCGCUUUCGCCUGUGACGAAGCGUGAGGGACGGUAAUGGGUAAAGAAGCACCGGCUAACUACGU